rnacentral:rRNA from 1 species
GAUGAACGCUGGCGGCGUGCCUAAUACAUGCAAGUCGAGCGAACAGACGAGGAGCUUGCUCCUCUGACGUUAGCGGCGGACGGGUGAGUAACACGUGGAUAACCUACCUAUAAGACUGGGAUAACUUCGGGAAACCGGAGCUAAUACCGGAUAAUAUAUUUAACCGCAUGGUUCAAUAGUGAAAGACGCAUUUGCUGUCACUUAUAGAUGGAUCCGCGCCGCAUUAGCUAGUUGGUAAGGUAACGGCUUACCAAGGCAACGAUGCGUAGCCGACCUGAGAGGGUGACCGGCCCAACUGGAACUGGGACACGGUCCAGACUCCUACGGGAGGCGGCAGUAGGGAAUCUUCCGCAAUGGGCGAAAGCCGGACGGAGCACCGCCGCGUGAGUGAUGAAGGUCUUCGGAUCGUAAAACUCUGUUAUUAGGGAAGAACAAAUGUGUAAGUAACUAUGCACGUCUUGACGGUACCUAAUCAGAAAGCCACGGCUAACUACGUG